rnacentral:lncRNA from 1 species
GAAAGUGAAAUAAAUUAAGCAUUCAAACAAACUUGAUUAAUGCCCAUAACUCAUUAAAUUUUGGACAGAAGUGAAACUUGAAUGAAGCUCAUUGGUGGACGAUUGCAUACUAAUAAUUGAGGAGAGCUUUGGUGCAAUCAAGCAGGAAACUUUUUAAGCUGAUUAGCGGAGCUGCUGAAAACGGCUCAGUGGCGCAGCAAUUAGAGAACGGUCUUGUACCCACGCGCCAUAGAAGCGGGUGGAAAAAACUCUAAAAUUCUUCAAAACCAGAGUUUUGAAAGACACCGCCAUGGGCUCAGAGGUCCAACAAUAGUGGCCGGUCUAUUCCAUCACUUUGACUAAACAAGCCACUAAAAUUCGCUUACUUCGUGGCUGCUGAAAGGAAACAUUGGUCAUUUCCACCUUAUUUACCGCCUUUCCAUUAGUGGGAACAAAAUCGUCUCUCUAUACCUUUUCGGUCCACCAUUCAUCUGAAAUCACAACCGUUAAAAAAACAUCGGGAUCAAAGAACCUCUCCGAAUAAUGAAUAUUAAUUGUACCGACAUGCGCGGCGUAGAAUUAUUCUAUCUUAAUUAAGAUUUUCACUUAAAAAUAUAAUUAUAUUAAAUAUUUAUUGAGAAAAUUUUACUGUUUUAAUGAUUGUAUUCAGUUCGAAUCUAAAUUAAUUAAAGCCUAAUAUAAUCUUUAGAUACUAAAUUUAAUAAACAAAAAAAUAAUGAAUCUUAAUUUUACCAUUAUUUGAAGUCAUGGCAGUCUGAUCAUUAUCUCAAACUAAUCGGACGGUGAUGUCUCGUCAGGCGGCCCACUAACAUAAAAGCCGAAAAAGCUUCCAGCACAGCAGCAGAACAGAGAGCGGGUAUACUAACAAGUGUAAUUUCGUC